GGCGAGAUGGCCGAGCGGUCUAAGGCGCUAGAAUCAGGUCUCCGGUUGUUCCGGUUGUUACCUAUCUAGUCCGAAAGGGCGUGGGUUCGAAUCCCACUCUCGUCA
rfam:Moniliophthora roreri strain MCA 2952 kmer90.94614, whole genome shotgun sequence.